rnacentral:lncRNA from 1 species
GUUCUGGGGUCGCCCCCACGGCGGCGCGGCGGAGCUCAGCCUCGAUCUCGCGAAACCGAGCGAGACUACGGAAGGCCGAAGGAUUGGGCUCAGCAUUGCUUGGGCUAAAGGCUGACUAGGGCUUCCAGGAAGUGAUGUAUGUGAGAAGUUUGCUUUUUAAAGUGUACGUGGGAUCGUUAUUACGUCGAAAUAGCUCGAGCUGUAACCUAGGGUAAAUAAUAAUUCCUUUUCGUAUUCAUCAAGGUGCUUCUAAGUGCCAGUGCCAGGAGUCUUGCUCUGUUGCCCAGGCUUGAGUGCAGUGGCACGAUCUUGGCUCACUGCAACCUCCACCUCCCGAGUUCAAGCGAUUCUCCUGCCUCACCCUCCUGAGUAGCUGGGACUACAGGCCUGCGCCACCACACCUGGCUAACUUCUGAAUAUCAAGCUGAAAUUACUAUCAGAUAUCUUGCCACCACAUAGAGGCUUUGAGUGAAGUCUGCAUGGAGGAGAACAGAGCUGAGAGAUGGAAAGAUACUGAAUCCCAGUGACGUCCUUUGAGAUGUCGGAUCAAGCUGAGCUGGGCAUGAAGAUAGAGCUACUCCUAUACUUUUAAGAUACCAAUAACAAGCAAGAUUCAGAAGUCCAACAAGUAAGACAUUGAUUUCAUUAAGAGAGAACUAGUAAGCAAGCUAUUUGGGAAGUACACUCUCAUAAGAAUAUUGUUUCAUGAAGUCUUGAGCAACAAAGGAAAUAGUCCAUGAAGUGCACUGCUGUCAGACUCCCUCUAAGAAUACUUCAACUGCUCAUGAAGCGGGGGGCCUUAACUAUUUACUUCUUUUGGAAGCCUCCAUCUGGCCCAUCUAUCUUUAUUCUCCCAGGAUCACAGGCAGAACACCUGAGCCACAGUAUCAGAACUAGGGUUGGAAGCCUGCUUUUCCUGGAAUGAAACCCCUCACUCUUCAAGUGUCCAGGAGACAAGAGAAACAAGCUGCCAUAUUGAAACAAGCUGCCAUAUUAUGUGUGAGCUGCCCUAAGGAAAGACACACAUGGUAAGGAAGAGAGGAUGACCUCUGGCUGAUAGGCAGCAAGAAACUAAGGACCUCAGUCUGAGAACCUGCAAGGAGCUGAAUUCUUCCAAUUACCAUGUGAGCUUGGAAGCAGCUCCUUCCCCAGUCAAGCCUCAGAUGAGACCCCAGCCCUGGCCAACACCUUGAUUGCAGCCUCUUAUGAAGAUUGUAGUCCCUAAGCAGAAAAUCCAGAUAACCUGUGCCCAGAUUGCUGAGCCACAGAAAUUCACUGAGAUAAUAAACGUGUGUUUCAAGCUGCUGAA